rnacentral:rRNA from 1 species
UACGUAGGCAGCAAGCGUUGUUCGGAAUUACUGGGCGUAAAGAGUGUGUAGGCGGUGCUCUAAGUCUGUUGUGAAAUCUCCCGGCUUAACCGGGAGGGUGCGGCGGAAACUGGAGUGCUUGAGGGUGGGAGAGGUAAGCGGAAUUCCUGGUGUAGCGGUGAAAUGCGUAGAUAUCAGGAGGAACACCUGUGGUGUAGACAGCUUACUGGACCACUUCUGACGCUGAGACACGAAAGCAUGGGUAGCAAACAGG